rnacentral:rRNA from 1 species
UACGAAGGGGGCUAGCGUUGUUCGGAAUUACUGGGCGUAAAGAGUGCGUAGGUGGUUAGGUAAGUUAGAUGUGAAAUCCCUGGGCUCAACCUAGGAACUGCGUUUAAAACUGCUUAGCUAGAGUAUUGUAGAGGAUAGUGGAAUUUCCAGUGUAGCGGUGAAAUGACGUAGAUAUUGGAAGGAACACCAGUGGCGAAGGCGACUAUCUGGGCAAAUACUGACACUGAGGCACGAAAGCAUGGGGAGCAAACAGG